UACGGAGGGGGCUAGCGUUGUUCGGAAUUACUGGGCGUAAAGAGCUCGUAGGUGGUUUGUCGCGUUGUUCGUGAAAACUCACAGCUUAACUGUGGGCGUGCGGGCGAUACGGGCAGACUUGAGUACUGCAGGGGAGACUGGGAUUCCUGGUGUAGCGGUGGAAUGCGUAGAGAUCCGGAAGAACACCGGUGGCGAAGGCGGCCCGCUGGGCAGAGACUGACGCUGAGGCGCGACAGCGUGGGGAGCAAACAGG
rnacentral:rRNA from 1 species